rnacentral:rRNA from 1 species
AUUGAACGCUGGCGGAAUGCUUUACACAUGCAAGUCGAACGGCAGCACGGACUUCGGUCUGGUGGCGAGUGGCGAACGUGUGAGUAAUGUAUCGGAACGUGCCCAGUCGUGGGGGAUAACGUAGUGAAAAUUACGCUAAUACCGCAUACGAUCUAUGGAUGAAAGCGGGGGAUCGCAAGACCUCGCGCGAUUGGAGCGGCCGAUAUCAGAUUAGGUAGUUGGUGGGGUAAAGGCCCACCAAGCCAACGAUCUGUAGCUGGUCUGAGAGGACGACCAGCCACACUGGAACUGAGACACGGUCCAGACUCCUACGGGAGGCAGCAGUGGGGAAUUUUGGACAAUGGGCGAAAGCCUGAUCCAGCCAUUCCGCGUGCAGGAUGAAGGCCCUCGGGUUGUAAACUGCUUUUGUACAGAACGAAAAGGUUUCUACUAAUACUAGGAGCUCAUGACGGUACUGUAAGAAUAAGGACCGGCUAACUACGUGCCAGCAGCCGCCGUAA